ACCUUCCAGAUUCCUUACCCAUCAUGUUUGACUAUUGGCCUGACAGGGUAACAAAGGAGGAAAAGCAAAACUGAAGUGGACUUGGAGUCUCUAAUGAUGUACACGUUCAUUUCAAGCAUAA
rnacentral:snoRNA from 1 species